UACAGAGGUCUCAAGCGUUGUUCGGAUUCAUUGGGCGUAAAGGGCGCGUAGGCGGCGGGGUAAGUCUGGUGUGAAAUCUCGGAGCUCAACUCCGAAAUUGCACUGGAUACUGCUCUGCUUGAGGGUUGGAGAGGAGAUCGGAAUUCACGGUGUAGCAGUGAAAUGUGUAGAUAUCGUGAGGAAGACCAGUGGCGAAGGCGGAUCUCUGGACAAAUCCUGACGCUGAGGCGCGAAGGCUAGGGGAGCAAACGGG
rnacentral:rRNA from 1 species